UCUUUGGGUCUUUCUCUCCUG
rnacentral:miRNA from 1 species